rnacentral:rRNA from 1 species
ACUCCUACGGGAGGCAGCAGUGGGGAAUAUUGCACAAUGGGCGCAAGCCUGAUGCAGCCAUGCCGCGUGUGUGAAGAAGGCCUUCGGGUUGUAAAGCACUUUCAGUUGUGAGGAAGGUGGUGUCGUUAAUAGCGGCAUCAUUUGACGUUAGCAACAGAAGAAGCACCGGCUAACUCCGUGCCAGCAGCCGCGGUAAUACGGAGGGUGCGAGCGUUAAUCGGAAUUACUGGGCGUAAAGCGCAUGCAGGUGGUUUGUUAAGUCAGAUGUGAAAGCCCGGGGCUCAACCUCGGAACUGCAUUUGAAACUGGCAGACUAGAGUACUGUAGAGGGGGUGAGAAGUUUCA